UUCGUUUUCGUCCCGUUGUCAUAAAAACCGUCCCUUUUCAGAUUACACACCGUCCGACGAAAUUGGAUAUAUGCGCUGGCAACACUGGUCAAUAAUGUCAAUUUUUUUCAAUUUAUCUUGACAAAUCCAUACAGAUUGAAAAAGAGAGGCUGCUUAAAUUCAAUUGUAUAGUAUUAGUUUUAUAAAUUAUUUCGUGAUGAAAUACAUCUCACUUAGUUUAAUAUUAACUUUAAUAUUUGCUGGAUAUGUUAUUAAUACGAUAUGGACUCUAGCCGAAAUAUUCAUCCCGCCGGAAUGUAGUCGUGGCGAACGAUGUUUUAGUUCCUAUUUAGCUUCAAAUCCAGUCCAGCAUUUAGUUCUUUAUACCUCUGUUAGAGAAUAUCCGCACGAGGGUGAUCCCGCCUCAGAAGCGGUGACAAAGGUGCAUACUUCGGUGAAUUUCGACUACCGGAAUCCGGCUUCUAUAGAUGUCACAUUGAAAAUUCCUCGCAGAACCCGCAAUAAUGGCACACUGUUCAUGCAUGCGGUUCUCCUUGAUGAAGACCGGUUGUACAAGCAGUUUGAUGAAAUCCUUAGAACAGAAACAUUGCAUACCUUGCCACUUAUCACAUUUAUUGAGCCACAGGCAGCUACAUUUAAUUUAUUAAAUAAAAAUACCGAAGAGAAAAAACCAAAGGUUCAAAAUGUAAAGCCCAUAGCUCAUAUAAACACCAUAGUUCCUCUGUCUGUUUUAACAGACAAUUUAAACCUUCCAGCUAACAAAAUACCUGGGGAAUUGUACUCUUACAUAAGAUUACGCAACCGUAAGUUCUUGCCGAUUAUUCAGCACAAUGUUCUGAAAUCUCGACUGUCAAACCUUCAGCCAUUAAACAGCAGCAGUUCUGAAGUGAACAUAACUGUCACCGUGUCACCAUCCUCAUAUGGGUCCUUACGUUUAGCCCUACAUGUCCGCUUGGCUUUAGACCAACUACAUAACCUGGGAUUUAGCGACAAAGAUGUUGACGAUGUUAAGGGGAUCUUUGCUGAUACCAACCUGUACCUGCUGUCUGCAACACUUUUGAUUGCUAGUUGUCAUUUGUUGUUCGACUUCCUGUCAUUCAAGAACGAUGUGUCAUUCUGGCGAAGCAAGCGCUCCUUGGGCGGGCUCUCAGCCCGCACCGUGCUAUGGCGCGCGUUCUCACAGCUGGUCAUCUUCUUCUAUCUUCUGGACGAGCACACGUCGCUUCUGGUGCUGGUGCCGGCUGGCGUCAGCGCGGUUAUUGAGCUAUGGAAGGUGACGAAGAUCCUCCACGUGCGCGUCUCCUGGUCGGGCUGGAAGCCCCGCGUGUGGCGCGACGUGCCGGACGCGGCCGAGCGCAGCACCGCCGCCGCCGACGCCGAGGCCAUGAAGUACCUGUCCAUGCUGCUGUACCCGCUGUGUCUGGUCGGCGCGGUUUAUUCGCUGCUCUACGAGCCCCACAAGAGUUGGUACUCGUGGGCGCUCCACAGCGUCGUGAACGGCGUGUAUGCGUUCGGCUUCCUGUUCAUGCUCCCGCAACUGUUCGUCAACUACCGCCUGCGCUCCGUGGCGGCCCUGCCGUGGCGCGCCUUCAUGUACAAGGCGUUCAACACGUUCAUUGAUGACGUGUUCGCGUUUAUCAUUACUAUGCCGACCGCGCAUAGGGUGGCUUGCUUUAGAGACGACUUGGUGUUCCUCGUGUAUCUGUACCAACGAUGGUAAGUCAUUUGAGAUUAUACUAUUUAAUCUAUCUACGCUCUGGCGGUGCUUAUGUGUCGCGCCUUCAUGUACCUACAAGGCGUUCAACACGUUCAUUGAUGACGUGUUCGCGUUUAUCAUUACUAUGCCGACCGCGCAUAGGGUGGCUUGCUUUAGAGACGACUUGGUGUUCCUCGUGUAUCUGUACCAACGAUGGUUAUACCCGGUCGACAAGUCGCGAACAGACUCGGCUGUCAGCAUGGACGAAAACCCGGAAGAGUUGGAGCCGCUGAAAGAAAAAGCCGAAUAAGGCUUAUUAAUUCUAUUAGUCCAUGAGAUGUUCAAAAUCCUCUGGCCAGAUGAAAUAAAUUUGAGUCAGGAACUUCACACUUUAGGCACAUAAUAGAUAGUAUUCGCUUCGAACUUGUUGUCGGUAUCUGUAGUUGUCAGCUGUCAGCCUUAUUACCCAAUAGAGUUCAAUCAUUGAGCUUCAAUUAAGAAUAUGAAGCAAGUGACUUGCUAAAAUACUUGUCUAUCUAAAAUACAGAUGAGAGUUAAAUUGAUUUUGUAUUAAGCGUCUGCAAACGAUACCACGCUUAGAAAUCAAGGAAAAGUGGAAAACUUGGGUGAGAUUCGAACUCGCGACUCUGGAACCUGUCCAUCGCUCGGCCGACUGAGCUACCGAGACUUACCCGAUGACAACGAAUAUUUCCACCAUAUCCCUCCUACGCGGCUUAGGGAGGAGCCGAGAUAAAAGUUUAAGGGGCAACCACUUGCUUUAGGCCCGAGACUACCACCGAACACCAUCGUUAGGCGUUUCCUUUGGUUUUCAAAUAAGCGACCACCACGGCAGUAUUCCUUCUUGCUUCCAUAGUGUUUGAUGUGAUGUGACACUAAAGGGUCUUGCACCAACCACAGUUAGUGACCUAAUCAGUGUUGGCCCAAUGUUAAUUUGAAUUGACCAUAUUGAAAAUUAUCCAUUUCAAAUUGAACCGUAACCGUAACGGACGGUUACAGUUUACGGUUCAAUUUGUAAUGGAUAACUUUCAAUAUGGUCAAUUCUGAUUAACGUUCGGCCAACUAUGAAAUUUCCCAUGCAAUAAAAAUAAAAUUGACGACCGGUCUGGCCUAGUGGGUAGUGACCCUGCCUAUGAAGUCGAAGGUCCUGGGUUCGUCGAAUCCCGGUAGGAGCAUUUAUUUUUGUGAUGAACCCAGAUAUUUGUUCCUGAGUCAUAGGUGUUGUCAUAGAGAAAUAAGAAGUAAUAGAGUGCUCACUCCAUACAUCAGUUUUGGUACCAAAUGAUUAUUAUAUUCGCAGUCGACAUCUAGCAUCGAGUAGCGGAACUCUCAGUACUGCUACUCGACAAUAGAUAUCGCGGCAAACAAAAAGUCUAAUGCUCAACGAUUUUCCGCUAAUAUUAUAACUAGAGUAACCAGAACUCUAUUUUCAACUCCUACAUUUCUCUGGUUAUAAUAUUAGCUGAAAAUCGUUGAGCAUUAGACUUUUUGUUUGCCGCGAUAUCUAUUGUCGAGUAGCAGUACUGAGAGUUCCGCUACUUGAUGCUAGAUGUCGACUGCGAAUAUAAUAAUCAUUUUGGUACCAAAACUGAUGGAUGGAGUGAGCACUCUAUUACUUCUUAUUUCUCUAUGGUGUUGUCUAUGUAUAUAUCUAUAUAAGUAUGUCGUCGCCUAGUACCCAUAGUAGAAGCUUUGUUUAGUUUGGGGCUAGGUUGAUAUGUAUAAGAUGUCCCCUAAUAUUUCUUUAAUUUAGCAAACACGGUGACAUAAGGUUUGGCGCAACUGACACUAAAUAUUGCAUCAAGAGAGAUUAUACAGCAACAUAUUUGACUGACCGUAGACCUUCUUUCAUUGCAAUAAGGUAUACUGAUAGUCAUAUAACUUUGUCAAUUAAGGUUCUUAUAUUAUAAUACUAUCUAACUUGUGGUAUAAUUAAUUUUGUUUUACUCCGUCCAUGGCCACAGUAUUCCAUAUAGGCUUUUUUAACAUCUCACGGACAAUAUGUAGACGACCUAGUUAAUUUGGUUAUUUCUAUAGUAGGUAAUGAGAUGACUGCUUGGUUAUAUAUAAGCUAAACUGUAUUGUUUCCUGUAAUUUAUUUGGUAUAGUCGGUCAAACAAGUUAGUCAGUAGAAUAAGGCGCGAAUUUCAAAUUUUCUAUAGGACCGUAACGCGUCGCGCCUAUAUUUUUUAAAUUUGCCGCUUUUUUCUACUGACGGAAAUGGCUUGACAGACUAUAUUUGCGGUACGUGUUCAGUCGGCAGCCAGUUUGCAGAGGCGAACCAAGCUGACUCUGCACGGCAUCUGCAAUGGAAAAAUAUCCAAAAUAAAACGAUUAUAAUGACACUCCCCCAUUUUGUUCUGCUCAAGUCGGUGAAAAUUUAGCUUAGGAUGGUAUUCCACCUGUCCGAUUUCUUGGUGCAAUGUGUAUUUGCAUCUCACAUUUUGCUUAAUGAGAGAGUAAGACGCAAUUCACAUUGGACAAAGAAAUUGGACAUGAUCAAAAUUAAUUGUACAAGUCUCAUGCUUAUAUUCAUAAAUGUCGUGCAAGUCUCAUAUAGCUAUAGUUUGUUUUUCCUUGUCGGUCACUGUGACAUUUGUGCUACUUAGAAAGAGACAUAACAAGAGUUUAAACGAAUAGAGGCUUAUAAACUGAAAUAGAGGUCAUAUAUUAAAGAAAAAGUGACGAAGCCCUCCAGUGGUGAAGGCCGGAUUUAGUGUUUGCUAAAUUGAAGAACUCGACUUGUUUUUACGAGAUAUAGAACUUAAAAACCUUCUAAGUCUUAAGUCCCGAGUCGAGUCCUUUAUUGUGUCUUUUUUAAGCACAUCUCAAAAGGACUCGAGUCUCCGAAUAAAGACUCGGUCAACAAUUUUAUAGGUUUUACCUAAACAACAGUAAAGGAAAUAGGAAAAUAAAAAUAUUGUUGUAUAAUUUAUGUUAUAUGUACAUCCAUGAAUUUUAUAUAAAGACAACGCAUUUCUAAGUUAUUUGUAAUAAAAUUACAAGUUCUCCGAAAAGGACUCAAGUCUCUACAAAUGACUCGGGUCUGAAAAACUGAGUAGAGUCUUAAAGCAGAGGACUCAAAGGACUCGAGUCUUAACCAACACUAGCCGGAUUACACAAUACAAAUCAAAAUAUUUAAUAAAUGAAUUUGUGUAAUUUAAAGUUGUGUAUUAGAGGCUUGUUAAGUUUUAUGAAAGAGUGGGUUCUCUUGACAAUGUUAAUCAGCAAAUAUUUCGAGCAUUUCAUGAAUAGUCGUUCAAUUUGUAGCUGGCCGCGAACGGCUAUUCUAAUCCUCUGUCUAUUAGUAAAACCGCACGUGCCAAAAAAAGGGGUCGUAUAAUUCUAAUUGGCAUCUAAGCGCGGGCUAGUCCAACGCAUAAAAAAAACCAGUGUAGGUGCGCUCUCCGAUAACGCGCCUUUGUUAUGCAUCUCGAGGACACAUUUUAGACUGGUUCUGUAGUGUUCGACUCGCCGGCACUCAGUAACCGUAGAGUGACCACACAAGAAAUCGCAAAUUAUUCUUACAUUUGUUCAUUUUGUAUUUUAUUGCUAUUUCCAUGGGAGUUGUAAGUCAAUAAUUUAUUAUAACAUAUUAUACUUAACAAUAGACAAAAGAUUAGCCGUUCGGGGUCAGCUACAAAUCGAACGACUAUAGCUACUAUUGUUCCUGACUGUACAUUUUACGGUGCCAGAGACAAUGUAAACUAAAAAACGAUUUAAAUUAAAAUGAAAUUAUUAAUUUAGGUUAUGCUUAAAUUAGCUUUAUUUCUCAAAUGAACUGUGAAUGAGGCUGUCUAAGGUGCUAAAAAGAUUUGCGCCAUUACUAUUUAUUUUAAUAUUUAUUUUACAGCACAUAUGGUGCUAUUUUACCGCACUAGUGUGAUAAUUAUCACAUUACAUAACUAUGUCGAAACUUAUAUAUUGCCAUAUGUUACUGUAAAACGUUGUACGAUACAUGUGCGAAUAGGUAAUUCGUAACUCUUGUCGAUUUAAAACACUCCCUUCGGUCAUGUUUUAAUUUAUCGCCACUCGUUUUGAUUCGCACUAGUAUCGUAAUGUACUAGAAUAUGAUAAACGCAUAUAUUAUACUUGAUCAUUCCGUUAACUUCUGUAUUAGAUACCUACAUAAGUGCAGAAUAAGCCCUAGUAUUUAAAAAAUAUCUUUUGAGCAAUAAUUUGUACUAGCGUCUGAGUCGCGUAAGAAAAUUAGAAAGUAAAUUGCUAAACUAUGUUAAACAUAUGAUAAAAAUAAUUUAUUAAAAUGCCUAAUGUAUAUUUGAGUGAAUGGCGUAACGAUAUAUGACCACGGCCGGCAAAACGUCCCACUUUGUCGCUUGCCAUACGAACACUUUGGCAGGUUAUUCGUACAAAGAUACAAGCAAAUCUCGUCCUUAUGGCAAGCGUCAAAGUGGGACGUUUUGCCGGCCGCGGUACCAUAUAACUUAAUUAUCACUUUUAACGCAGAUAAUACUUGAAAUAGUCGAACUCUAACGCAAAAAUCGAUCAGGGUCAAGUUAUUAUAGCGUAAGCUGUCAAGUAGCCCAGAUGCUUUGUCGUUGAUAUUCACUCCCAUUAAAGUAAGGGCACUAAAAACGAAGAAAUUCGUACAUCGAAUUGCCAUUUCCUAUCUCUGUCGCACGCGCAUAGUUAUAUUAGUGUCCCGCUCGCACAGUGGCAUUGCCGUCUCCAUCAUCAGCGGGACAGCGAUCUAAUUAUCAGUCUUGGCCGAACGUUAAUUAGAAUUAACGAUUGACCAUUACUAAUUAAACCGUAAAUUGGUCAAUUCUAAUUAACGUUUGGCGAACACUGAUAAUUAUGCUCGUGAGGGUUCCAUACCCGAAGGGAGCCAAAUGGAACACAAUAACAGAGAGUAAUAAUUACUAAUGUCUGCGUGCUGUAACUCAAUAAUAAUAGGAAGUUGGCAUCAUUCUCUGUUACUCUAAAACGAAAACGAAAUUCUUUUCGUCCACUAGUGAAUUAACCAAAACGGUUUGAAAAAUAAAACUAUUUCCGAGACAAUUUUUGUUUGUUUCGGAUCGUAUUUUUUGAAAAUUGGAAGUUUGGAAUUUGUCGGCCCGAUUAAGUUAUACAUGCUAAAUUGCAGCUUUCUAGUACCGUGAUCGUUACACGAAACAAAUCCUCGGACAGACAGGCUAACAGACAGACAGACUGGGCGAAACUAUAAGGGUUCCUAGUUGGCAACGGAAUCCUAUAAAUUGUAUGAUGGCACUGAAACUUGCUUGCCUUUGGCACUUGGUUGCCUUUUUAGGGUUCCGUACCCAAAGGGUCAAACGGGACCCUUUUACUGAGACUCCGCUGUACGUCCGUCCGUCCGUCUGUUUGUCUGUCACCAGGCUGUAUCUCAUGAACCGUGAUAGUUAACCAGUUGAAAUUUCUACUUUUUAUUACUUCUGUUGUCGCUAUAACAACAAAUACUAAAAACAGAAUAAAAUAAAUAGUUAAAAUAUUUUUUUUUUUUAUGAUAAUGGUACGGAACCCUUCGUGCGCGAUUCCGACUCGCAAUUGGCCGGUUUUUUAUUCUAUGUACCUAACAAAUAGCGCCAUAGCGGUGAGACGGCUAAAAUCCCAUUAAUAUUUAGUUGUGAAAAAUGAUGCGUAGGUAGUUGUUAACUAGUGGAUAAAUUGACGACUUAGCGUCAAUUCAAAAUUGACAUAAUUUUAUCUGAAUUCCACAUCGAAUAACAGACCACUCGCGUCCAGAAUUAGAAAGAAUAAACUUACUGUUGCGGGCGUAUAGUUCAUGAUAUUACCCCGUUAUGGUGUAAGUCGUAUUUGAUUGUUGAGAGCCUGUUCUGUCCCACUGCUGGGCAAAUGCCUCCCCCCGCCUUUUCCAUUUUUUUCGGUUUUUUGCAGUGUUCCGCCAUUCCAAGUACUUUUAAUUGCGUGUCUUGAUAAAAAAUCGCAGUUCAAGCUUACUCUCUCUUAUUCUGGAUAAAUAAAAAAAUAGUUACUUACCUACCUUCACCAUCUUGAUUACCUUCAUCAUUUUUCUUAAUUGAAAUGAAAUGAACGGCAAGCAGAUAAGUUUUUUGGUCUGAGAGUAUUAUUCUUUUUACAAGUACAGUGAGGCUAAAUUGGUGAAAUGUAUGGAAACACCUUUGCUGCCAUAAAAACAAGGACGUGUACCGAUAUAUUUGGCCACUUUGGCCGUCACUAUCUAUUUAAUGCUGUGUAUGCGCUGGAGGUAGUCCUCAAAUGUGUUAGAAAAAUACAACCAAAAAUAUAUUAUACAGUAUUAUGAGUCGAAUAAUGCUACUUAUAGAUGCUGUAAUGUUCUAGAAAGGUAUAUAUAUAUAUUUUGGAUUCAUGAUGCAUGCCAAUGGAGGUAAACUAAUCUUAAUGAUGCUAUUUAGUGGCGUUAAUGUCAUAUUAUAGGUAUAUUUUACAAAUGUAAAGGCUAUAUAUGGGCUAAGUUUUUGUAAGACUCAAAUUAUUUAUACUCGUAUUUUGUCCAGAAGUAAAAAUAAUUAAUUGAUUCAGAAGAGAAUAUCCCAAAUUUUUUGAACAUCGUUUAGGUGCCAAAACACCUGAGAAUUGAUUGUACAGUUCUAUUCUAUAGGUGUGUACAAUACAUGUGCGAAUACGUCGCAACUCGUGUCGAUUUAAAACACUCGUUGCUGAUUUCCUACUUUCUGCACUUGUAUCGUAAAAAACUAUAAACAAAGAGCCGAUUUUUCAGACCCCCAGAUAAAAGCUGGUUAAACGAUAACACGAUUCUCAUGUGUCAUUCUCAUAACCUAUUUCGAUCUAAGAUACCUACAUUCAUCAGAUUCCUUUCUCGUCAGGACAAAUUGUAGCCUGUUUUUUUUCGGGCGAAAACGUUGGAAUACCUACUUAUCGGACAAGUUAAAUGGUAACUGAAAAAUCGGCCCUAACUAAGUAAUUUAUGAGACAAUAUUUUGUAAUGAAUGUUAGUGUAUUUUAGUGUGACUGAUCCUGACAGUGACACUGAAGUUGACAGAAUAAAGAUUUCUUACGAUUUUAGUUACAACGCGUGAUUUUUGACAUUGUCCUACGGUGGCCUAGUGUCUCAUUAGUUGACUGUACUCGUACCUACACAACUUAGCAGUAUAAACGAAUUAAUAUACUUAUGAAAUUAGAAACUUGCUUUGUUACAUUGAUGUUAGAUUUAGCACCUAUUAUAUAUUCUGCUGGAUUUAUAUUUUAUACUAACGAAAAUACUUACAGGACUAUAUUAAAUUGUUUAUGAUUUUGUAAAAA